GACGGGACCCGCCCGGUUAGGGUCAUUACUCAAAGUAGUGUUGGGUACCCAGACCCAGCCCAUGGCCGGGUUCCAUUCUCUGUUCCUGUUU
rnacentral:tRNA from 1 species